UACGGAGGGAGCUAGCGUUGUUCGGAAUUACUGGGCGUAAAGCGCACGUAGGCGGCGACUCAAGUCAGAGGUGAAAGCCCCGGGGGCUCAACCCCGGAACUGCCUUUGAAACUAGGUUGCUAGAAUCUUGGAGAGGCGAGUGGAAUUCCGAGUGUAGAGGUGAAAUUCGUAGAUAUUCGGAAGAACACCAGUGGCGAAGGCGACUCGCUGGACAAGUAUUGACGCUGAGGUGCGAAAGCGUGGGGAGCAAACAGG
rnacentral:rRNA from 1 species